CGAUGUCUACUAGCCGUUGGGGAGCUUGCCUCCUUAGAGGCGCAGCUAACGCAAUAAGUAGACCGCCUGGGGAGUACGGUCGCAAGAUUAAAACUCAAAUGAAUUGACGGGGGCCCGCACAAGCGGUGGAGCAUGUGGUUUAAUUCGAUGCAACGCGAAGAACCUUACCAGGUCUUGACAUCCUGCGAACUUUCUAGAGAUAGAUUGGUGCCUUCGGGAACGCAGUGACAGGUGCUGCAUGGCUGUCGUCAGCUCGUGUUGUGAAAUGUUGGGUUAAGUCCCGUAACGAGCGCAACCCUUGUCCUUAUUUGCCAGCACGUAAUGGUGGGAACUUUAAGGAGACUGCCGGUGACAAACCGGAGGAAGGUGGGGACGACGUCAAGUCAUCAUGGCCCUUACGACCUGGGCUACACACGUGCUACAAUGGCCGGUACAGAGGGUUGCAAAGCCGCGAGGUGGAGCCAAUCCCAGAAAGCCGGUCGUAGUUCGGAUUGGAGUCUGCAACUCGACUCCAUGAAGCCGGAAUCGCUAGUAAUCGCGAAUCAGAAUGUCGCGGUGAAUACGUUCCCGGGCCUUGUACACACCGCCCGUCACACCGUGGGAGUGGGUUGCAAAAGAAGUGGGUAGACUAACCUUCGGGAGGUCGCUCACCACUUUGUGAUUCAUGACUGGGGUGAAGUCGUAACAAGGUA
rnacentral:rRNA from 1 species